AGUGAACGCUGGCGGUAGGCCUAACACAUGCAAGUCGAACGGCAGCACAGUAAGAGCUUGCUCUUACGGGUGGCGAGUGGCGGACGGGUGAGGAAUACAUCGGAAUCUACUUUUUCGUGGGGGAUAACGUAGGGAAACUUACGCUAAUACCGCAUACGACCUACGGGUGAAAGCAGGGGAUCUUCGGACCUUGCGCGAUUGAAUGAGCCGAUGUCGGAUUAGCUAGUUGGCGGGGUAAAGGCCCACCAAGGCGACGAUCCGUAGCUGGUCUGAGAGGAUGAUCAGCCACACUGGAACUGAGACACGGUCCAGACUCCUACGGGAGGCAGCAGUGGGGAAUAUUGGACAAUGGGCUCAAACCUGAUCCAGCCAUACCGCGUGGGUGAAGAAGGCCUUCGGGUUGUAAAGCCCUUUUGUUGGGAAAGAAAAGCAGCAGGUUAAUACCCCGCUGUUCUGACGGUACCCAAAGAAUAAGCACCGGCUAACUUCGUG
rnacentral:rRNA from 1 species